rnacentral:tRNA from 1 species
AGCUUUAUAGUCAAUUAUGACAUUAGACUGCAAUUCUAAAGGAGUGUUUUAUACUAAAGCUU